rnacentral:rRNA from 1 species
CAGUAGCCACGGUAAAACAGAGGGCGCAAGCGUUAAUCGGAUUUACUGGGCGUAAAGCGUGCGUAGGUGGCUGUUUAAGUCGGAUGUGAAAGCCCUGGGCUUAACCUGGGAACUGCAUUCGAUACUGGAUAGCUAGAGAUCGGUAGAGGGCAGCGGAAUUCCGGGUGUAGCGGUGAAAUGCGUAGAUAUCCGGAGGAACACCGAUGGCGAAGGCAACUGCCUGGGCCUGAUCUGACACUGAGGCACGAAAGCGUGGGUAGCAAACAGGAUUAGAUACCCCCGUAGUCCCUGUCUCUUAUAC